GACGAACGCUGGCGGCGUGCCUAAUACAUGCAAGUCGAACGAACUCUGGUAUUGAUUGGUGCUUGCAUCAUGAUUUACAUUUGAGCGAGUGGCGAACUGGUGAGUAACACGUGGGAAACCUGCCCAGAAGCGGGGGAUAACACCUGGAAACAGAUGCUAAUACCGCAUAACAACUUGGACCGCAUGGUCCGAGCUUGAAGGAUGGCUUCGGCUAUCACUUUUGGAUGGUCCCGCGGCGUAUUAGCUAGAUGGUGGGGUAACGGCUCACCAUGGCAAUGCUACGUACCCGACGUGAGAGGGUAAUCGGCCACAUUGGGACUGAGACACGGCCCAAACUCCUACGGGAGGCAGCAGUAGGGAAUCUUCCACAAUGGGCGAAAGUCUGAUGGAGCAACGCCGCGUGAGUGAAGAAGGGUUUCGGCUCGUAAAACUCUGUUGUUAAAGAAGAACAUAUCUGAGAGUAACUGUUCAGGUAUUGACGGUAUUUAACCAGAAAGCCACGGCUAACUACGUGCCAGCCGCCGCGGUAA
rnacentral:rRNA from 1 species